UGAGGUAUAGCCAAGUGGUAAGGCAGCGGGUUUUGAUCCCGCCAUUCCUAGGUUCGAAUCCUAGUACCUCAG
rnacentral:tRNA from 1 species